CCAACCCCGCACUCCACGCUCUCUCCAUCCCCACACGCAACCUCUCCUCUUCUCGUUUCUCCUCUGCCUCACCGCCGCCGCCACUGCUUCCCCUUCACCCCUACCUCACGGAAAACGGCGGCGAUGAGGAGGGUCGGCGCUUGGCGCAUACCCGCGCCCCCGACCGUGGCAGCGUCCUCGCGGGGCCAGGCUUCCCGUCCGCGCCGCGACGCCGCCGGCAAGGAGGCCUGGGCUCGGACAGCCUCCGCGGCGUCGAGUGCGCCGGUGAGGUGUCUGGGAACCGCGUGGCGGGGAACUGGCGCUGCUUCUGGUUGUGGGUUCCGGCGACGCCAAGCCGUACAUCUGAGCCGCCGCCUCCAAUUUGUUUCCUCCAUGUUUCAGCUCCAGGUGUCACGUGUGUCCUUCAUCGGCUAUCCCUCCUUACGGUUGUUGCCGCGUCCGCCUGCUGCGGGUCCUCCGUGUUCGUGACUGUUGUGUCGGCGUCGAAAGAAUUUCUCCUGCAGUCAGGUAUCGCUCCCAACACAGGCGUCUUUUUUUUGGGGGGUCGAUCAAGUUUUCCCUUGUUGGCUACCGAUUUCAUACGAGCGCCAUCACCAUGCUGAUUGUGCUACUGGUAGGGCUCUCAGUUGGGUUGAAUUUCAGCACAGACCCUUUUUUUUGCAAGCAAGAACCGAUGAGCCUAAUUGAAAUAGUAGAUCGUUGGAGUAAAGCUACAUCCGUUUGGUUCCUGAAGGAAUUAAUCAGCUGGUUACACAGUAUUUAGCAUCGGCCUACGGUGCAGGAUUUGUUAGAUUUAUUUUCUGUGUAAUUUUUAUUUGUCCAGUAAGAAUCAGGUUAGUGUUGGUACCGAGAGAAAAAUAAACGACCCACAAAAAUUAAUGAUAUGGCCGUGGUGUUCCCCAGUUUGGUGCAUGCCAAGGAAGGAAGUCCUGUAUUUAGACCUGAUCUUGUAAUUAUUUUGGUGCCUGCCCAGAAUAGCAGUGUGCGCACAUGUGGUAAGUACAGUAAGCCAACUCUGGUAGCUUGCUUAGUACUGGAAAAGGAAUAAGCAGGUUGUGAGAUUCCUAACAACCCUUUUUGUGUUGAUCAAAUUGGUGAUAUGUGCUAGCUGGGUAUUAAUAAAGAUUCUCUGGUACUUUUUUGUGUGAAGUCUGUGUUUCUCAGUGUCGUUGCCUCGUGUGUUUCCGGUCUCUUCUGCUUUAUGAAUGAGAUGGUUGUCAUCUCCCAUUCACGUUGGCCGCUUGGUCAUGUGCGACUGUAUAGAUGGUUGUUGGUGUGAUGUUGUUCGUUGGUUUGUUGUUGAUGUUAAUCUGCUUAUAGCCUGUUUGUUGUUAUGUCGUGGCAAGAUGUGCUAUCGAUGUCAUGUUUUAUUUUGAUUUUUUGUGGUUCUAGCCGGUGCUUAAUUUUUGUCCACGUAUUUAUGGCUAAAGUCCAUGCAUACAUACUCAUGGAUUUGAUUUUGUGCUAUGGCCCUUGUGAACAAUCAAGCUAUCAGGUGAGAAUCGAUUCGUGGCUCUUUCUUUUUUUGAACUGCUCAUUAUGUGGUUCUUCGGACUCACACUCUGUUCCCUUUCUUUUUGUACCUCCUAUUUAUGGGCUCACUUUUGUUCGUGAGUCGAUCAAGGACCAGAUGGGUGUCUUGUGCUCAUCUCCGGAUACGGAUCUGUAUCCUUCUCUGUACAUGUCCUGCUUCCAAGGAUUGUCCUUCUGCUCACAGGUUGCAUUCCUGUUGCUUCACAAUGUUUGUAUUUACCAUAUUACUCCUCAAUGCCAUGAGUUGGGAGCAGCUCCAAUUCCAUCAGAUGUACAUGAGCUAUAUGUUGAUAAGCUCGCGUAUCAGUUGGCGGAUGUUCUUGAUUUCUUCAGUUUAGGGUCUGUGAUGUGCAUGGGUGUCACCGCCGGUGCCUAUAUGCUUAUCUUCUUUGCAGUACGUGUUUGCACGAUUAGGUGGUUGCGAAUCUUGGGCUCUGUGUGUCAGUCUAUGGCAUCCUUGCCGUGGAUUCAUCUUUCCAGGAUAGGGCUGCUCGACGUAUAAAUAUAUGCUCUGUACAAGAUCAAUGCCUAAAAGGGUGUCUGCAUCGCAGUUGAGUUGGAUACUUGAAGCUCAAAAGUUAGGGUGCCGACGCAUCGGUGCCAGCCGCAGGGUUGUGACCUACGGGCGGCAGCUCAGGGGCAUGCCUUGCUAGGUGCUCGCCUUUUCCUACAUCUCUGUAGGAACACGUCAGGCAGGAGCUCAGCCCCACAUCCUUGCUCAAGGUGGUUCUCCUCACGCUUGCCGCCGUCUCAGGUGGCUUUCCUCCCGCUGCCGCCGGCGCUCGUCCUCCUCGAUUUGCCGCCGUCUCUUACCGUCUUCUUUGCUUCUCUGGAUGCUUCACAGUUGCGAUGGUCGCGUGGCGUGGGAUCUGUCUUGCUCGAGAUGAAGGACUUUAUAAAGAGGUGACAUUGCUCGACUAUAAUACUUUACCUAUGCAUGUCUGGUGCUUAUGUGUUCCGAGAUGAAGGACUUUAUCAAGAGGUGACACCGCUCGAUCAUGCUAUGAUACUUAAGCAUAUCCGGAGCUUAUAUGAUGCGAGAUGAAGGACUUUAGUGAGUAGUUCGAGUAAACGCACAUGAAUAGUACUCUUAUGGCUCGAGAUGAAGGACUUUAGAGAGAGGUGACAUUGCUCGACUAUAAUAACCAUAUCAAUUGAUAUUUUUUUAUUUAUAUCUUAUGUUGGAGCAUUGUAAUCACCAAAGUGGGUUGGUGAGAACGAUGCCGGGUAUAGAUAGAGAGAUGGCUUUGCCCUAGUCGCGCUAAUAGUUUUGGACUUGGUUCAUAAAAAAUCAAUAAUGUGAAAACUACAGUUGAUUAGUGAAGUUUUUGUUACAAUGUUUGUUUAUAGUGAA